UACGGGGGGGGGCAAGCGUUGUUCGGAAUUACUGGGCGUAAAGGGCUCGUAGGCGGCCAACUAAGUCAGACGUGAAAUCCCUCGGCUUAACCGGGGGAACUGCAUCUGAUACUGGAUGGCUUGAGUUCGGGAGAGGGAUGCGGAAUUCCAGGUGUAGCGGUGAAAUGCUUAGAUAUGACACAGAACACCGAUUGCGAAGGCAGCUCACUAAGUCAUAACUGACGCUGAUGCACGAAAGCGUGGGGAGCAAACAGG
rnacentral:rRNA from 1 species